ensembl:lncRNA
AUGUAUAUAUACAUAUAUAUAUAUACAUAUAUAUAUAUACAUAUACUGUAUAUACAUAUAUGUAUACAUAUAUACAUAUAUACACAUAUAAUAUGUCGGCAGUGUCACGAGUUGGUGCAGGAGGAUGUUUAGGACCCAAGAUGCAGAUAACCAGAUGAACAAGGCAGGAGGUGGAUGAAGAAAAUAAAAUCUUUUAUUUGGGAGUCGUCCAAGAGGCAGGGAGCCAAAACCAAAAAUCCAAAAAUUCAAAUAUCUAAAUGGAGUAAUCAAAAGCACUAGAGAACUAGAAACACUGGAAUCAGCCGUCAAUGGCUGCUAGGAGCGCCGUCAAUGGCUGCUCCCAUGGUCUGCCUGUAUCUGUCCUGUCUAUAUGUGUGUGUGUGUGUAACCUUGGUCAGGUUGUACUAUGGAGUCAAGUUCCUACGCUCUGAAAGGAGCGCUGGCAAUAAAAUUCAUUCUGAUUCUGAUUCUGACUAGAAGCUAGGAAUAGGAACGAGACGAGACUGACAUGAACAAUGGACCGACCAAAACACUGUAGCACAGACAGGGUUUUAUACACUGGGGAGGAUGAGAGGGAGAUGAACAGCAGGUGUGUGGAGAGAGAGAGAGACCAGGUGAACUCAGUUACUAAUCAGGGAGGAAACUAACAGAACCUAAGAAUAAAACCUAAAGACAAGAAGAGCAGGAAACAUUAAUAAUCUAAGGGGGGAGAAAAACCACAAACACCGGUGGGAAAAACACACAAAAGAGACUAAUAACACGAACGGCUGUAACAAAAGGAAAAUGACCAAAGGCAAAAACCUAAAGACCAGAAGGGCAGCAAACAUAACUAAUAUUCUAAGGGGGAAGCUGAAACUACAGGAAAACAUCACAGAAAGAAAAACUACAGGGACGUGACUAAAGGGGGCCAAGGGAGUACAGGACCUGGGAGGGGGAUGCCUGAGGAGGGAAACCUAGAGGGCUGAAGAUCUGGGGCAAAUGGCGAACACCAGGAGACACAUGAGCCAGCUGGCACGUGAGGAUCAAAAGGAGUCCAACGCUCCAGAAGUUCAGAGUGCCCAUGUUCCACCUACAACCCAGCACAGGCUGCUUCUGCUGGGGGAAAAGAAAACCCGUGUUCGGUCCGUCACUCCUCCGCUGGUCCACCGGAACCAGUCACCUUCUCUCUCUCUCUCUUUCUCUCUCUCUCUUAUUAUUACUUAUUCACACUUCACCAGAGUGUGGAGAAACCUGCGGCUCCUCAGCGACCCUCAUCAACAGGUAAAAAGCCUUUCCACCUCUCCGCGCUUGUUUUCUCAAAGGAGGGGGCGAAAGCAGCAAAAGUCGCUCCUCAGAGAUCCCCGAACGCGCUCCUUCCUCCUCCUUGGAAGUCGGAAUUCAGAGUGGAGCUGAAGGCAGCCUGGGAAAAGUCACUGGGAAGUCCUGAGUGGAGGGAGCGAUGCAGGAAAAGUAAAAGGCGGAAUGGAAUUCGGGGAGCACAGAAAGAGUGGACAGCUAAUCCACCUAGACCCACCUCUGUCUGCAUCACACACACACACACGAGAGAGAGAGAGAGAGAGAGAGAGAGAGAGAGAGAGAGAGAGAGAGAG